rnacentral:rRNA from 1 species
AAAUUGAAGAGUUUGAUCAUGGCUCAGAUUGAACGCUGGCGGCAGGCCUAACACAUGCAAGUCGAACGGUAACAGGAAGCAGCUUGCUGCUUUGCUGACGAGUGGCGGACGGGUGAGUAAUGUCUGGGAAACUGCCUGAUGGAGGGGAUAACUACGUGGAAACGGUGGCUAAUACCGCAUAACG